GAUGAAGAACGUAGCGAAAUGCGAUACUUGGUGUGAAUUGCAGAAUCCCGUGAACCAUCGAGUCUUUGAACGCAAGUUGCGCCCGAAGCCAUUAGGCCGAGGGCACGCCUGCCUGGGCGUCACACGUCGUUGCCCCCCCAUCUACUCCUUCGGGAUUGCGGGGGGCGGAUGAUGGCCUCUCGUGCGCCUCGUCGCGCGGUUGGCCUAAAUGCCAAGUCCUCGGCGACGCACGCCACGACAAUCGGUGGUUGCGAAACCUCGGUUGCCUGUCGUGUGCGGUCGUCGCGCAUCGAGGGCUCGAAAAAAUUGCCGGGCUUCGGCUCGACUUUCAACGCGACCCCAGGUCAGGCGGGGUUACCCGCUGAAUUUAAGCAUAUCAAUAAACGGAGGA
rnacentral:misc_RNA from 1 species